rnacentral:tRNA from 1 species
UGGCGGGAUAGAGCAGCCAGGUAGCUCGUCAGGUUCAUGUCCUGAAGGCCGGAGGUUCAAAUCCUUCUCCCGCAACCA